rnacentral:rRNA from 1 species
CACGUAGUUAGCCGGGGCUUCUUCUGAAGGUACCGUCACUCCAGCCGGCUGUUCACCGUCGAAGCUUCGUCCCAACUGAAAGGGGUUUACAACCCGAAGGCCUUCUUCCCCCACGCGGCGUUGCUGCAUCACGCUUUCGCGCAUUGUGCAAGAUUCCCCACUGCUGCCUCCCGUAGGAGUCUGGGCCGUGUCUCAGUCCCAGUGUGGCUGAUCGUCCUCUCAGACCAGCUACGCAUCGAAGCCUUGGUAGGCCGUUACCCCACCAACAAGCUAAUGCGCCGCGGGCCCAUCUCGACGCGAAGGCCGAAGCUAUCUUUCCUCGACUCACUGAUGUGAGAAGAGCUCAUCCGGUAUUAGCCCGAGUUUCCUCGGGUUGUCCCGAUCAUCGAGGUAGGUUACCCACGUGUUACUCACCCGUUCGCGGCUCUGCCCCAGGGCAACGCCCUGGUUCGUCGCUCCACUUGCAUGUGUUAAGCACGCCGCCAGCGUCGUCCU